rnacentral:rRNA from 1 species
CCUACGGGAGGCAGCAGUGAGGAAUAUUGGUCAAUGGACGAGAGUCUGAACCAGCCAAGUAGCGUGAAGGAUGACUGCCCUAUGGGUUGUAAACUUCUUUUAUAUGGGAAUAAAAUGUUCCACGUGUGGGAUUUUGUAUGUACCAUAUGACUAAGGAUGGGCUAACUCCGUGCCAGCAGCCGCGGUAAUACGGAGGAUCCGAGCGUUAUCCGGAUUUAUUGGGUUUAAAGGGAGCGUAGGUGGAUUGUUAAGUCAGUUGUGAAAGUUUGCGGCUCAACCGUAAAAUUGCAGUUGAAACUGGCAGUCGUGAGUACAGUAGAGGUGGGCGGAAUUCGUGGUGUAGCGGUGAAAUGCUUAGAUAUCACGAAGAACUCCGAUUGCGAAGGCAGCUCACUGGACUGCAACUGACACUGAGGCUCGAAAGUGUGGGUAUCAAACAGGAUUAGAUACCCGAGUAGUC